rnacentral:lncRNA from 1 species
CUUGGAUACCGUCGAAUAAUUCUUUACAGUUACCGCAUAUCAAUAUAUCCGGAUGACCUGUAAAAGGCCGACACCACUAGUUAUAUUUUAAAAAUUUCCAGCAAAAAAUCUUAGAACUUAUCGAUUCUUAUUUUUAAAGAGAAAUCCGGACCGACGUACGAAACCGACCACCGUUAACGGGCGUACAUCCAUCGUUUUCGGCCCGCGUAUAAUUUAUAACGGCCGAGGUCCGAGUUGGACGGCCAACGAUUUUUUGUCGUACGCCUGGAAGAACACGGAAAAAAACCAGAUAGAAAUUGAUUUAAAAGUAACUUACUGUAAGCGGUCAAAACCAGUUUGCCUUUCUUCUUGGCUGUUUUCUCGUUUCGUACUCUUUUGGUCGGAGAGGCGCUCUGUCCGGAGCAGCUACGGGCGAGAAGAAAAAAAUCGCGUCAUUUAACGACUCGGUAAGCGGAAACGCGUCUUUAACGUUUAGCCCGACACAAAGAAUCGACACGGGUGGUAAACAGACGGUCGACGGAUUAUAUCUAAGUUUAGAGCCUAAGCUGUCGCAUCCAGCGUUUUUCCCGAAUAAAUCCCCACUUCCCAUCUCCGGUCAUCGGGAUUUACCGCUUCCUCGCUCGUUUCCCACCCAACAUAUCCAGACUUUUUUACCUCUGGCCAUUGUCCUCCGUCUUUAAUUCCGUUUGUCCGAAAGUGUGAUUAUACGGGAGACGGCUUUUAGCCGGAUCCGAGUGACCGGAAAAAAUUUAUUUUCCAUUUGUUGUUUAAAUUUAACCGUUUUUCCGAUUAAAUGUCGAUUUCGAAACGUAACGCCGGUAAUUUACGCGAAAAAUUCGAAUACAAUCGAUUAAAACGGGUGGAAGUAGCGGCCCGACUCGGGUACCCGCCGUUCCGUCUGAAUGGUGGUGGGUCGAUCGAAACGCCGCUUACACCUACAGAAACGGAAGGAGUCGGCCCGGAAUUGGCUAGACGCUUAGUUGGCUGGAUAAGAUCGACCGCGCGCGCGGACGGAAACGUUCUAGGCGGUUAAAUGGAAUUUCGGCAAUUAUUCGGCCGGCUAAAGGAUAUACCAGUUUAUUGGGAAUAUUCCUACUAGUCGGGCCGCCGUAUCUAUCGAAAGUAAACGUUUUAAAGCUGGGAAGGGACGUCGGUCCUACCUCAUC